GUCUGAAGAUAUUUGUUGAUUAGCAUAUGUAGUAAACAUGUUCAAAUUGUUGAAGUAGUUAUUUGCAUUUAUCAAUUAUGGAAUGCAGUGUAAUAAGCAAUUAACUUGUAACUAAAACACUUUCCAAUAUCCAUACAGGUAUACCUCCAAAGCACAACCGUAAAUAAUCAGUCUUUUUACCUUCCCAAAAAUCCUUCUCAAAAGAAUUUAUCCAAUUAUAACGGCAAAAUAUUUAAAUAACAAACAGAAAAUCCAAUUUUCAACUAGUCAUCGUAUUGUUACACUCAUAAAAAAAUAAAAGAUCUAAAAUUUUAAAAUUUUAAAUCUAUGUAUGAUAAAUCUAAUUUAAUAUCUGUAGAUUUUCACACUAAGUCAAUGGUUAGACUAGACCCGGCAUGAUUCUUGUGGCAUUAGCCGAUUAUUUUUUGGACAGCACCUGCCGAAUUAUUCGAUCGUUUAUCGGGGACGAAAUUCGGUCGACAGAAAUGGUCAGAUUACAUCCGAAUUUCGGUUGCAUUCAUCAAAAUUAAAGAGAGUUUGUUUGUUUUUUGAUGUAAUUUCGGCACGUAGACAAACAUCGGCAAAGCUACGGCCACACAGAAAGCUACGCUACGUAAGCUGCAUAUGCUCUGUGGUGGGUUUGAAAAAACUUAUAUGAGAAUAUGAGAUUAUAGCAUUUUACAGAAUGACUAAAAAGUUCACUACCCGUUAUGUAAAUCCAUUAUACAAUUAAAAUGUCCUGACAUAAAUAGAGUUAACAAUACGAAAUACUGAAACAUUACAUUCGACCCGCAUUUGCGUUGGAAAAAUUAUAUUUCAGAACUAAAUUAAACAUUUUUUUAAAUUAUACGCUUUCUAGAACAUUAAUUAUGG